GUCGAACAAAGGGCAGGGGGCGACCAUAAGGAUUUCUUCAAACCCUAGUUUCAUAGCAAAUCUCCAAAUUGAAGCUUCAAAUCUGCCCUAAAUCAAGUCUUGAACAUAAAUUAGUGAUCCCCUUGUAGUAAGGAUCAUAAAGGUAAAGAAUCCGGGUCAUCUAGUGGACAAGCCGGGGGUGAUACACGCUUAAAGGGUGCGCUUUGAAGGUACGACUCGUGGUCAUGGAUGUUGAUCAAGCAAUGGGGUGCAAGAACCGAACACACAUUUUGAAUGCUUCCGCGAUUAUCUAUUCAAGCUAGAUGUUGAUGUUGUUUUUGAAACAUUGUUAAAUAUUAUGUUUUAAACCAGUUAGUACGCUUUGUCACUCUUUAACU